rnacentral:rRNA from 1 species
AUCGAACGCUGGCGGCAGGCCUAACACAUGCAAGUCGAACGAGUGGCGGACGGGUGAGUAAUGUCUGGGAAACUGCCCGAUGGAGGGGGAUAACUACUGGAAACGGUAGCUAAUACCGCAUACCAUCGGAUGUGCCCAUAUGGGAUUAGCUGGUAGGUGGGGUAACGGCUCACCUGGGCGACGAUCCCUAGCUGGUCUGAGAGGAUGACCAGCCACAAUGGAACUGAGACACGGUCCAGACGCCUACGGGAGGAAGCAGUGGGGAAUAUGGGACAAUGGGCGAAAGCCUGAUGAAGCCAUGCCGCGUGUAUGAAGAAGGCCUUCGGGUUGUAAAGUACUUUCAGCGGGGAGGCGUUACUCGCAGAAGAAGCACCGGCUAACUCCGUGCCAGCAGCCGCGGUAAUUC